AAGAAUAAAAAAAGGACACAGACAAGGAAACAAUGUAGUACUGCUUGAUUCUACCAAAUUAGACAAGUUCGGUUGGACUUCAGUGAGAAAUCUACCAACAGACAACUUAAAUUUUGGAUGGGGAGAAGGAGUUUAUAUCAAAGACGGAACACAAUUUAGAGUGUAUGCUUCCUGUUCUAUUGGAAGUAGUUCUCUUGACAACUGGCUGCGGACACCGUUUAUAGAUACGAAAGA